CAAAACCACUCAGUUCAUCUCCUUAAAAAAGCAACAGCAUUGAGUGGUGAAAACGUCUAUAUACUCUGGUGAAAACCGUGAAAACCAUGUGUACGUGCAUUGUGCAUGUAGUUUUUGGAAAUGUGUAACUGCUGAGCAGAAAAUGCCAAAGCUUUUUUGUGCUAUAUGUCAAGAGUGGCCUAAGAAAUUGCAGCGCCGUUGCUUCAGUUUCCCAUCGCAGCCGUACUACCGCCGGCAAUGGCUGGCCGCCUGCCGCCUGGCCGCUGUUCCAGCCAGCGCGGGCGUGUGUGAGGGACAUUUUACACCCGCCGACUUCAACAAUGACUCCGAGUCCAAAGCCAGGAGGCGCCUGAAGACAUCUGUGGUGCCGAAAAUAAAUGUAAGCUUGUGCUGG